GGAGGAACAACCGAUGGCGAAGGCAGUUCUCCUGGGCCGUAAACUGACGCUGAGGAGCGAAAGCGUGGGGGAGCGAACAGGGAUUUAGAUACCCUGGUAGUCCACGCCGUAAAACGUUGGGCGCUAGAUGUGGGGGACCAUUCCACGGUUUCCGUGUCGCAGCUAACGCAUUAAGCGCCCCGCCUGGGGAGUACGGCCGCAAGGCUAAAACUCAAAGGAAUUGACGGGGGCCCGCACAAGCGGCGGAGCAUGCGGAUUAAUUCGAUGCAACGCGAAGAACCUUACCAAGGCUUGACAUAUACGAGAACGGGCCAGAAAUGGUCAACUCUUUGGACACUCGUAAACAGGUGGUGCAUGGUUGUCGUCAGCUCGUGUCGUGAGAUGUUGGGUUAAGUCCCGCAACGAGCGCAACCCUCGUUCUAUGUUGCCAGCACGUAAUGGUGGGAACUCAUAGGAGACUGCCGGGGUCAACUCGGAGGAAGGUGGGGAUGACGUCAAAUCAUCAUGCCCCUUAUGUCUUGGGCUUCACGCAUGCUACAAUGGCCGGUACAAAGGGCUGCAAUACCGUAAGGUGGAGCGAAUCCCAAAAAGCCGGUCUCAGUUCGGAUUGAGGUCUGCAACUCGACCUCAUGAAGUCGGAGUCGCUAGUAAUCGCAGAUCAGCAACGCUGCGGUGAAUACGUUCCCGGGCCUUGUACACACCGCCCGUCAAGUCAUGAAAGUCGGUAACACCCGAAGCCGGUGGCCCAACC
rnacentral:rRNA from 1 species